rnacentral:rRNA from 1 species
UACGUAGGGGGCAAGCGUUGUCCGGAUUUACUGGGCGUAAAGAGCGUGUAGGCGGCCAAGCAGGUCCGUUGUGAAAACUGGAGGCUUAACCUCCAGACGUCGACGGAAACCGCGUGCUAGAGUCCGGAAGAGGAGAGUGGAAUUCCUGGUGUAGCGGUGAAAUGCGCAGAUAUCAGGAAGAACACCAAUGGCGAAGGCAGCUCUCUGGGACGGUACUGACGCUGAGACGCGAAAGCGUGGGAGCGAACAGG